AACGAACGCUGGCGGCAUGCCUAACACAUGCAAGUCGAACGAGACCUUCGGGUCUCGUGGCGCACGGGUGCGUAACGCGUGGGAACCUGCCCUUAGGUUCGGAAUACCUCCCCGCAAGGGGUGCUAAUACCGGAUAAUGUCUUCGGACCAAAGAUUUAUCGCCUUUGGAUGGGCCCGCGUAGGAUUAGCUAGUUGGUAGGGUAAAAGCCUACCAAGGCGACGAUCCAUAGCUGGUCUGAGAGGAUGAUCAGCCACACUGGUACUGAGACACGGCCCAGACUCCUACGGGAGGCAGCAGUGGGGAAUAUUGGACAAUGGGCGAAAGCCUGAUCCAGCAAUGCCGCGUGAGUGAUGAAGGCCUUAGGGUUGUAAAGCUCUUUUACCCGGGAUGAUAAUGACAGUACCGGGAGAAUAAGCUCCGGCUAACUCCGUG
rnacentral:rRNA from 1 species